CCUACGGGAGGCAGCAGUGGGGAAUUUUGGACAAUGGACGCAAGUCUGAUCCAGCCAUGCCGCGUGCGGGAAGAAGGCCUUCGGGUUGUAAACCGCUUUUGUCAGGGAAGAAACGGGUUUCUCUAAUACAGAGACCUAAUGACGGUACCUGAAGAAUAAGCACCGGCUAACUACGUGCCAGCAGCCGCGGUAAUACGUAGGGUGCAAGCGUUAAUCGGAAUUACUGGGCGUAAAGCGUGCGCAGGCGGUUAUGCAAGACAGAGGUGAAAUCCCCGGGCUCAACCUGGGAACUGCCUUUGUGACUGCAUAGCUAGAGUACGGUAGAGGGGGAUGGAAUUCCGCGUGUAGCAGUGAAAUGCGUAGAUAUGCGGAGGAACACCGAUGGCGAAGGCAAUCCCCUGGACCUGUACUGACGCUCAUGCACGAAAGCGUGGGGAGCAAACAGGAUUAGAUACCCUGGUAGUCCACGCCCUAAACGAUGUCAACUGGUUGUUGGGAGGGUUUCUUCUCAGUAACGAAGCUAACGCGUGAAGUUGACCGCCUGGGGAGUACGGCCGCAAGGUUGAAACUUAAAUGAAUUGACGG
rnacentral:rRNA from 1 species